GGUUUACCCGCCGUUGGGAUAGGCUUGCGUCUGAUUAGCUUAGUUGGUGUGGUAACGGCACACCAAGGCUACGAUCAGUAACUGGUCUGAGAGGAUGAUCAGUCACACUGGAACUGAGACACGGUCAGACUCCUACGGGAGGCAGCAGUGAGGAAUAUUGGGCAAUGCUCGAAAGAGUGACCCAGCAACGCCGCGUGGAGGAUGAAGGUAUUCUAUAUCGUAAACUCCUGUGAGAGCAGACGAAAGACAGAUUAUUAAUCUGGAUGACUGUAUGCUCAGAGGAAGCCCCGGCUAACUACGUG
rnacentral:rRNA from 1 species